rnacentral:ncRNA from 1 species
UCAAAGGCAAACCUGGCGCAAGCCGGGGGUGCAAAGCCACCUGGGUCUAAGGCGGAAACCACCCUGCGACAGCC